UUUACCGAUUUCUUUAAUACAAUAAAACAUUAAAGUAUUAUGUGACUAUAUUUCAUUGUCUUCGGUGUAGAUUAUUUACUGAUGUUCCAAUUUCCUGUAUCAGUUUGGUACCAGGAAAUAUAAAAACUACACCUCUUCAAAAACUUUGCUGGUAGUUCGACAUCUGUAAGUUUAAAUAUAAAACAUGAUAAAAACACUUAAGUCCAAAACGUAUACAUAAAAUAUUUGCCCUAUAUUCUGGUCGCUCGGAAGGGUGCCCAGAAGGCUGGGUGCAUUUCCGCGCUGGUUAACAAUGCUGAUCCUCUGGUCACCAGAAGCCUAUAUAAGGCGCUCUCAUAGAGCCACGCUAGUGCCCUAGAGUUUCAAAUUCAACCCCAAGUGCCACAAAUAUGUAGUUAAGGGUUUAAAUUCUGGAUCAAGAACAUGGAAUACUAUUCGCUAGCAUUGAUGUAAGUAAAAGGGGUAGAUAUGUGACGUUAAUAGUUGACAAAACUAAAAUCUGGUCCAGCACCCACUCAUUUGCAAAUACUACACACCAUUAUAAUGUACAUGUGCACAACGAGCAACAGGGAUAACCAAAUAUAGUUAACAGUGCUGCGCAAGCGAGACCCCUAUAUUUUGCGUAAUUCCUCGAGGUGCAACAGAGAAAAACUAAUAACAUUAUACAAAUGUGUAGGCGAGACGUACAUACUUCUUACAUUGUCGUCUUAAAGUGAUAUUAAGUCAUUUCGAUUUUUAAAAAAUACAAUGAUUUGAUAUUACCUAAUCUUAGACCGUCUCUCACUUCAAGCAAAAAUCUGAGCGAGCGAGUUACACUGAGAUUAAUAUCAAAUGAUUGACUAUCAUAUUUUUAAAGCAUGAAAUUGACCCUCGUUUUUUACUUCUGAAACCCUGGUCGACUAUUCACUAUGUUCAACUAACGUGUCGCCUCGAGAAAACCAGUAUAACGAUAUAAUCUCAGUUGAUAGGGAUCUCGAGGUUCCACUUCUGAUGGUUUUUCGGAAAAGACAAGUACGCUUGACAAGAGAUAAUGUAAUCACUGGUAAUUCGUAGUUACUCCUGGUAUUUAUAUAUUCCAAUCGUUCACCGAGCGCACGACUCAAGAUAACCAAUAUAAAAGUGUGAACCUUGUUUAUUCAUAGUUACGAUACGUAUACGGAUUCACUUAUAUUGGACAAGUUGUAAGUCAUGGGAAUAAGCGCCUUCAACGGCGGUCUUUAUUAGGUAGCGUCAGGAAACAAAUAUUUAUAAAAUAUAUACGAAAUUAAAAUAAAUAGGCACUUUAUUUAUUUUAUGGAAAACAAUUUUUUUUUCGCUAACACAAAUAAAAUAUGUAAAACUGUAUGUAUUUUAUAU